rnacentral:siRNA from 1 species
ACAACUGCGAAAGCAUUUGCC